rnacentral:rRNA from 1 species
AACUGCGCAAUGGCUCAUUAAAUCAGUUAUCGUUCCCUUGAUAGUACCUUACUACAUGGAUAACCGUGGUAAUUCUCCAGCUAAUACAUGCUAAAAACCCCGACUUCGGAAGGGGUGUAUUUAUUAGAUAAAAAACCAAUGCCCUUCGGGGCUCCUUGGUGAUUCAUAAUAACUUAACGAAUCGCAUGGCCUUGUGCCGGCGAUGGUUCAUUCAAAUUUCUGCCCUAUCAACUUUCGAUGGUAGGAUAGUGGCCUACCAUGGUUUCAACGGGUAACGGGGAAUUAGGGUUCUAUUCCGGAGAGGGAGCCUGAGAAACGGCUACCACAUCCAAGGAAGGCAGCAGGCGCGCAAAUUACCCAAUCCCGACACGGGGAGGUAGUGACAAUAAAUACUGAUACAGGGCUCUUUUGGGUCUUGUAAUUGGAAUGAGUACAAUUUAAAUCCCUUAACGAGGAACAAUUGGAGGGCAAGUCUGGUGCCAGCAGCCGCGGUAAUUCCAGCUCCAAUAGCGUAUAUUAAAGUUGUUGCAGUUAAAAAGCUCGUAGUUGAACCUUGGGCCUGGCUGGCCGGUCCGCCUCACCGCGUGCACUGGUCCGGCCGGGCCUUUCCUUCUGGGGAGCCGCAUGCCCUUCACUGGGUGUGUCGGGGAACCAGGACUUUUACUUUGAAAAAAUUAGAGUGUUCAAAGCAGGCCUAUCUUGAAUUCAUUGCAUGGAAUAAUAGAUAGGACGUGGGGUUGUAUUUGGUUGGUUUCUAGGACCGCCGUAAUGAUUAAUAGGAUAGUCGGGGGCAUCAGUAUUCAAUUGUCAGAGGUGAAAUUCUUGGAUUUAUUGAAGACUAACUACUGCGAAAGCAUUUGCCAAGGAUGUUUUCAUUAAUCAGUGAACGAAAGUUAGGGGAUCGAAGACGAUCAGAUACCGUCGUAGUCUUAACCAUAAACUAUUCCGACUAGGGAUCGGGCGAUGUUAUCUUUUUGACUCGCUCGGCACCUUCGAGAAAUCAAAGUUUUUGGGUUCUGGGGGGAGUAUGGUCGCAAGGCUGAAACUUAAAGAAAUUGCGGAAGGGCACCACCAGGAGUGGAGCCUCGGCUUAAUUUGACUCAACACGGGGAAACUCACCAGGUCCAGACACAAUAAGGAUUGACAGAUUGAGAGCUCUUUCUUGAUUUUGUGGGUGGUGGUGCAUGGCCGUUCUUAGUUGGUGAAGGGGAUUUGUCUGCUUAAUUGCGAUAACGAACGAGACCUAAAACGGCUAAAUAGCCAGGCUAGCUUUGGCUGGUCGCCG